UAAAUAUUAUCUUCCCAUGCUUUUUUUAGAGUUACUAAAUGCUUCACGAAUAGAGACUAUAGUAUCUACUGGUUUGUCGAAAAGCUUUGUAUCCGCUCAAGUGUUAAGUAUCUUUAUCAAAUUGUUGUCAUUGGCAUUGUUACAAUUUCAAUUAAAUGAACACUGAGGGUAGUUUUAAAGAUUUUCUUAGAGCAAUUACGACAACUGCACCAACACGACAUUUAUAGAUACAUUCAAAAAUGGACGAUACUCAACAUACAAACAGGCGAUGGAAAUGUACUUGUCCCAAAGGAAAUCUUGGCAUAAAGUGGGAUUCGUAUACUAUGGCAACAAGAAAACUGUCAUAUAUACUCGCUAAGUAUUCCCAAAACAUGGGCAUGUGCUAACUCAAACCCAACAACACAAUAGGCACAACUGAAAAUAAAGUAAAUAUAUUUUA